UCUUCCUCUCUUCUUUUAUCUUCCUCUUCUCUUCCUCUUCUCUUCUCUUCCUCUUCCCUUCCUCUUCCUCUGCUCUUCCUCUGCUCUUCCUCUCCUUUUCUUUUAUCUUUCUCUUCCUCUCCACUUCUGUGCUCUUCCUCUCCUCUUCCUCAUCUCUUCCCCUCUUCGUCUUCCUCUUCCUUCCUCUUCCUCUUCUCUUCCUCUGCUCUUCCUUUCUUCUUCCUUUCCUCUUCCUCUUCCUCUUCUUUUAUCUUCCUCUUUCUCUCCACUUCUGUCCUCUUCCUCCUCUUCCUCUUCCUUUCCUCUUCCUCUGCUCUUCCUUUCCUCUUCCUCUGCUCUUCCUCUCUUCUUCCUUUCCUCUUCUCUUCCUCCUCUUUAUUCUCUCCUUUCUCUCUUCUUUCUUUCCUUUCUCUUUUUCUCUCCUUUCUUUCCACUCUUCUCUUCUUUUCUCUCCUUCCUUCUCUUUCUCUUCUUUCCUCUCUUUUUCUUUCCUUCUUUUUUCUUUCCUCUUUCUUUCUUUCUCUCUUUCCUUCUUUCUUUUCUUUCUUUCAUCUUUACUUCCUUUUAAGUGUUACUAUUUCCGUGCAAGAUCCACACUCCAGGGACAGUUGGAAAGUGCUUUUGAAUUACGUUCCUCCCGUGGAAAAGACGGUUACAUCUGGGCCAUGGAAGCUACCGGGUCUCAAUCCAAUAAGCUCUUAAUUGGCUCAUUUUAACAAAGUUUGCAGACAAGAGUAUCGUGAAAUCCAUGGAGAGUUCUCAGGGGUCAGAAGAAUGUAGAUCGCCUUUUAGAUGAAACUCAGGUUCUUUAUGCAGUUUAGAUCUAGACCCCGAAUCCGUAGCUGGGGAAGACCCUGGAGGCUAAAUUUUCUAUUACGGGACAAAAGGUUUUUACUUUAGUUCCACAAGAUUUAGGGGUUUUUUUGUUGUUUCGGAAACAGAGUUCUGAUGCAUUCAUGAAAAUCUGCAACAUAUAAAAAGCAAAACAAAACCACCCAGAAUUCUAUUGUCCAAACUGAACCAGCAUUAACAUAUUGGCUUUUGACCUAUUUUCAUAUGAAAUACUCAGUUUUCUUAUGCUUAUGAGUAGAACGGGAUGGUUGGCUUUUUCACAUAACACACGCAUCUACUUUACAUGAUUCUAGUUUCAAGAAACACUUAGAACUACUUGAUGUACAUUUUCCUGUCGUUAGUGGAUAUCUAUGUCUUUUCCACCAUUGCAUAGGACUGUCACGAAGCGAUGUUUAGUGUUCAGAACAUGACCGUUCAAGGGGGUAGACCUGGGCUUCACCAGUUGGCCACUUCAAGCAACUUAAUCUCUCCGAACCUCAUUUUAACUUCAGUAUCACUUCACUUCAGAGUAAUAGUUGCAUCACAAAGGGUUGUGAUAAGAAUUAAUUGAAAUCGUGGAUCACAUAUUAGUGAAUACUAGCUAUUUCUACAUGUAAAGUUUUUUUUUUUAAUAUUUAUUCAUGAGAGAUGGAGAGAGGCAGGAUCCCUGCAGGGAGCCCAGUGCGGGACUCGAUUCCAGGACCCCGGGAUCACACCCUGAGCCAAAGGCAGAUGCUCAACCUCUAAGCCAUCCAGGCAUCCCUCUACAUGUCCACUUGGCUGCUGUAUGGAGACAGACAGCAGGGCACCAGAAAAGGAAAGAUGGAAUCCAGUCAGGAGUGUAAUUCCGUAAUCCUGUUUCAGUUACCCAUGGUCAGCCGUGGUUCAGAAACAGAUGAUCCUCCUUCUGACGUACCUUCAGAAGGUUAGUAGUAGCCUAGCACUAUGUCACAAUGCCUACAUCAUUCACCUCACUUCAUCUCAUCACAUGGAUAUUUUAUCAUUGAACAUCAUCACAGCAAGAAGGUACAAUGUCAGCACAGCCAGAAGUCCAGCAGCAUCUUGGUGUUACAAGUAUCCUCAGAUCUUUGAAAGUUUGCAUUACGCCACCUGGCAUUUAUGAAAGACCUACAUUAUACUCUCUCCUCACUAAUUGAAAGAAAGCCAUAGAGGAUUUCCACUUUUACCUAAAGCAAAAAUAGUGUUUAGCAUUUGUUUUACAGCAAGCAGUUAUAGAGGCUGUGCACCCCAAGUAGAGAGGAUGGCGCUGCCGAGCUCUUUCCCUAGAAACUAUACUCAGCAUCUCGGUGUGGAGCCACUACAGCUUUGAAUUGUGUCUGUUUGCAUCCGUGAUUUAUCUCAAUUUAUUUUGUGCAUCCAUUAGCAAGACGUGUUGUAAGGUAUCAGAAAAGCCUAAGAGGAUUUUAUUGGGUCUGGGAACACUUAAAACAUUUUUUGUAUAAAUUAAUGGUAAUUCCUUCUUCGCUUCACCCCCUUUUGCCUAAUGGACGGUUUCAUAGGAAUGCUUUGCUUUUAGGAAAUGAGGGAAGCUUGUAUUAUAAAAGUAGUUUUGACAUUGUAGGCCACGGAAAAGUUUUGGAAUCCCCUCAUGAUUCAUGGACCAUACCUUGAGAAUGACAAUUGUAAUUACAAAGGUUAAUCAAAUAGACAAAAUAGGGAGGAAUUACUUUUGCCAUUAUCAUUAAGCAGAACACUGUGCACCAGUGUUAACAAUGCCAGAAGACUCCCAACUAUAUGGAGGACAGCAAAGCUCAUCAUUACACCAGCCACCAGGAAUAGUGCAUUUUGUCUACUGCACUUAGUACCAGAGUCGCCAAGGAAAACACAACACAGUUACGCACUGGAUGGAACACUGCUUUUACUCAUAUCUAGAAGAGCAGAACAAGAUCAGCUCUAAUAGUGUGCUUUGGUCCUCCGUGGCAGCCCAUGCAAGACAAAAAGCCUGCAUCAACCCCUAGUGUGCUGCAGGGGAAGCACCUGACACCUCCCCCGUGGAGCCUGAAAUACAGAAAGCUACGGGCACGUCUCAGGGCCUUCCAUGCAGCCACUUAAGUGGAAUAAAGAAGUACACACUGAGCCUGAAACAGAGAUAUAUAUUCCUAUACAAGGUGAUAAGAUCAACACAGGUCGUGUAUGCUCUUUGCCUUGGUAAGGAAGUGUUCCCACCCAAGGCCUGUCAUGUGUAUGAGACAAGUGGAAGGACUGUGGGCAUGAGCCACUUGCCUCGGCCAACAGGUGUGUCUUCCCUUCUGCUUCUCUUUUAGCCUGACUAGGCUAUGUGCUUUACUUUUCUGUUAAAUCAUUUUGCUUUAAUGUAUUAUGAAAUGUUUUCAUGUUGAAAUUAUUAUAAAAUGCAAUUGUACAGAUGUUUGCUUUUAAACUUAUAAAAUUAGUAGGGGAGGGAACUAGACAUAAUUUAAAAUUUAUAACCAAUAGCAGUGAAUCCAAAGUGAAUAAAUGCUAGAUAGCUACAUGCAACAAAUGUCAAGACCAAAGAAAACAUAAAGUCAGAACUUCCUGGACAUAGGGCAUUUUUAUACACCAGGAAAGCAUGUUGUUAGUUUCUGUCACUGGUUCCUCAAGGUUUUUUUUUUUUUUUAAUUUUUUUCUAUUUAUAGCCUUCUGCCAUUUCAGCAAACUAUUUGGAAUAGAUACUGCCUCCUUUUAGUGCUUAUUAAACUGAUGACAGACUUCCUGUUGUAGGUAUGAUUAUUAGUAAAGAAUCAGCAGAUUUAUCAGUGAAGAGAUCUACAGAAUUGGAUGAUUUCUACAAGGAACUAUUCCUGUACUUUUCUUGUAUCUUGAAAGAGAUACUGGCUACUUGACUCUCCAUUUUCAGUUGAAAACUCUUUCCUUUUUUUUUUUUUUUAAAGAUUUUAUUUAUUCA